UUGCAUUAUGGCCCGUGAGGAUGAGAACCUCCGGGGGCAAGAGGUUCGACUCGAGCGUAGCGAGAGAACGUUGCGCCAGCAACGGCCCGCAGGGCGAGCCACGCGGUGGCGAGUAAUCCUCUAUCACCGACCA
rnacentral:sRNA from 1 species